UCUACACAAACAGGCACACAUAGCUGCAUCACAUCCACACAACACCUAGGAUCACAUGAUGUCUUGAAGUCACAUGACUAAUUAGGAAGUGAUAAGUGUUUGCUGGCUGCAAGUCAGAUUCUCUUUGUGUUGGUGCUGGACACUAUUGUGCGAGUUGGGCUUCACUUUUCAUACAGGGUAAUUUCUAGAAGGUUGUGUCUACUCUUCACGGAGGACACAGGCUUCUGCAUGGAGUUUUAACAUUUGUGAUCACCUCAUUGUGACCUGAGCUGAUGGGCUGCAUUGCUCUGCGUCUCCCUUACUCUGCUGUGGCUGUAUGGAACCUGACCUGUCUAGCAUUAGAUAACUCUCCCCUGCAGCUUAUGACGACGGCACGGCGUGUCUGUUUUAAGCGUUCUUUAGGCCUACUGGCUAAUCAGUGACUGCAAGUGUUUGGUAUGUAUGAAACCGGAAUGUUGUAGCUUUUGGUGUGGCAUUUGAGACACUUUGAUACACUCUAAGUGUUGACUAUUUAUGUUACAGGUAGCAUGGCUUCGUCAAGUUUGCUUGUUUAGUGCGGUCACGCUGCUGUCUUGUCCAUAGCAUUAGUUUUCACUUAUUUUUGUGUUUACGUCAUCACAGCUCCUCCGUGUCGCGGUAGCUGACCUGUUUGUGUUGCUCUUUUGCUUGAUUGGGAUUUCACAGGCGGGUUUGUUUUUGUUUGUUUUUGUUUGCUGGUCUGUUUUGCUUUUGCCUUAGUGUGUGUGAUCGUGUUUUCUGAGUUUGUAGUGUGUCUGCAUGCCUAGCUUUUAUCCCAGCGAGGAUUAUUUCCCUGGCUCAAUAGCUUUACAUCUUUAAUUGGUAUAACCUACAUGCUGGUGUUUGUGGUUGCUGUGCUCCUUUUUGAUCAGUUUAUGUGUUGGCAGGCCUGUGGGUUAUCUUCGGCGGGGGGUAACUAGUCACCUGGUGGCGGGCUUGUGAACUUCACUUUGGAGUGUACUAUGGAAUAUCGGUGGUGGUUUGCUGUGACAAUGGUGUAACCAAAGAUCCUUGAUUACUAGCUCCGCUUGAACCCUCUCUGGUGUAACACUUUUCUGCAGUGAGAGUGCACGUGUGGACACCUUCCUUGAUAGUCUGCUUCCCCCCAUCCAGGGACCAGGCCAGCCACUGUUUUCCUGCUAUCGCUGUACAAGGCCGGAUCCACACUGAUGCUUUGCCCCUUCUUGCCAAGGGACCACAUUGGGAGACACUGUCUUGGUGUGUACUAUAACUACAACACGUUGUGAUAUUUUGUAGUGGUAUCGAAAGACCUUAAGUGUGUAGUGCUUGCUGCAACAGGACACGUGUGACAUUUUGUAGUGGUAUCUGAAGAUCUUGAGUAGUGCUUGCUGUGUUGCAUGCGUCGUCUGGUGUUGGGUUGCUGUCUCCUGUUGUUUUUUCUGUCUCACCAGGGUCCUCCUGAGCAGGGGUUUUGCAUUGGCUGAUCCGACCUUCCUAGACUGAGGAAAAUCCACCAGUUUAUAGCAGUAUUUUAAGAUUUAGAACUUUUCUACUCCUUUUGUACUAAAUUGUAAUAAAUUUGAAAUACAUUUACA